ACUGUAACUAUGUAACCAAAUAAACCCCUUUUAUAAAACCAAUCCAUUUCUGGUGUUUUGCAUUCUGGCAGUAUUAGGAAACUAGAACACCCCCUUAUUCAGAAAAGGCCAUUUAUGCUCUGCUUUUUUUGGUUUUCUUGCUUCCAUAAUGCUACGAUGAGCAACACACUCCUAUCAGCAGCAUCUUCCAUCAUGUGAAGAGAUUUGCAGGGCAGGGGGAGAAUGGACAAAAGGCAGAUGUGUGCUUCAAGACAGAGAGGAUGGGCCUUGGAUUGGGAACGUGCCUGAGGAACCCCGUGGCUUCGAGUAAGACCCAGAUUCCCAGGGCCAGCCUGGUUCUCAGGCCCCGGGCCUCUGUGCUCACCUGGACAUCACACUCCACAGGCCCAAGAUGACUUUUCCUCCAAAGUGGCAACUUUUCCUUGUUCUGGAUUUCUGUCCCUAGCACCAUCUCCUUCUGACUGCCCAAGACCUCUCGCUUCCCUCUUCCCGGAUCUCCAUGCCCAAGUGGUAGUUAAAUCCUCUUCCGUUCCACCUCAGCAGUGUCCCCCGUCCAUCCCUGACUUCACCCCACGUCUGACAGCCUGUGAACUGUCAGCCUUGCGGAAAUUCCAGCAUCUCUCCCUGCUUCAAUCCAUCUCUGGCUGCCUUCAUGGCAUGCAGAAUAAAUGCCAGACUCCUUGAUCAAGCAUCCAGGUAUCAACAGUCUGCUCCACUCUACUCCCCCUGCCAUGUGCUAACCAGAGGACUUUCUGCAGUAACGGCAAUAUUCCGUAAUUCUGUAUCUGCACUCUCCAGUACAGUAGUUGUCAACCAUCCGUGGCCACUGAACACUUGGAAUGUGGCUGGUACAAAUGAAGAAUUGAAUUUUAAAUAUUAUUUAAUUUUAAUUAACGGCAACACAGGGCUAGUGGCUACCAUUCUGGACUGCACAGCUCUAGUCUAACCGAAUGAGACCACUGCUACUCCUGCCAACCACCCAUGCCCGGUUCGUGUAUUUAAAUCCUGUUCCCACUCACCAAAGCCAUCCUCGAUACCUCAGCACAAUGCACUCUCUUUCCUCAGACUACGGGGACACAUCUGUCCUUUACCUUGUAUUUCCACACACUUCACCUCCACCCCACUCACAAGAAUUCCUCAGGAGUGGAGUCUGCACCCUAGGCCCUGCUGUGUCCCUCUCAGUCCUUGUGGCAGAGCGGGUGCUCAGAGCCCAUCUGAUGACAGCCCCAUGGCAGGCUCUGUCUUCCGUGGCUCUGUCUUCAGUUAGCGCUUGCUGAAGCUGGUCAACCACCCCCCCCACCACCACUGGCCCUGACUUCUUGGUUAUUGCUCCCGCUGUGAAAGAGCAAGUCCCUAAACUUGGCUGCCAGUUUGGAGAGAAAAGCCAGGCUGAUGUGGGCACAGAAAGCCAGGAGAUGAGUGAAGACGAGCAGGAAGCUACAAAAUGCUGGGAUCGGGGGUGUGACUAGUAGAGCAGCACAGAAGAAGGUGGGAAAGCUACACUCCUUGAACCCUACACCAGAAGCCCCCAGGGCCACCCAAAGUGACUGGCUUGACCCGCCUCCCAGGAGCCACGCCCAGGUUUUACCUCACUGCCUGCGGUUCGCCGUUCUAACAGGAGCCGGAAGCGGUUGCAGGUUCUCUUGUUGUCCUUGAGACCUUGGCCAAGGCCCCGGUUGUCAUCCUGCAUGAGUCGCCGGUCCAAGAUCACCUCCAGCUGGCCUGGGGAAGUUACCCGUGAGACCCAGGCCUGCCAGAGCCACCCCCAGCAGACACUGACCUGUGGGAAAGAACCCCAACCACAGGCCCCAAGGGAAAAGCCCAGGUGAGGAGGUGAGAGGCUGAGUCCCUCAGGAGAGAAAGAAGCCACGAAUCCUGGAGCUGCAAGGAGGCCUAGUGGAGAGCUGACCCUGUGCCCUGUUUUCCAGCUGAGGAAGUGCAGGCCUGGUGCAGGGUGGGCUGACUCUGGAGUUUACUGUCCAGGCUCCAUGACUCAGGAGUGAGAUCGGACAAAGGGUCCAGGCAGGGAGCCACCUCUAGACUGGCAUGUGAGACAACAUAAAUGAGCAAACACAAAACACCAGGCAACAGCCGUCAGUAAUGUUGCUGUGGAUCCCCUAACCUGGGACGGGUUUUCUCAGAUAGGGUGGAUUUUUGUCAUGAAUAAAACAAGCUCUCCUGCUCUUGUUUCACAUGGGUAUGGCUGGAGUUCCCCACAGGGACAGCCGGGGAGCUCCAGCAGGCCAGACUUGGGCUGAGCAGGGGAGUAACCCAACGAUGCAUCAAGAACGUGCUCGAAUUUGGGGUCACCUGGGAUUUCUCUGGGGAAGAAAUGGCAAAUGAAGACAUUUGCUUUCCUUUUUAAAAUAUGCUUGGGGUGAGGGGCUCACUGACUAUGUUGGAAUGAGGAUUUCCCCAGAACCUGUUUUCCCCAAGGAUCCUCAAGAUGCACCCACACCAACUUCUCCCACAGAUGGCCCCCUCCCCCUCCUCACCCCAGCCCCCAUUCAGACAUGGGGGGCUCCUCACUCUUUUUAGGCUGCGCUAUCACAGAUAGGCAUCCAAAAGCUUUAAAAUGGACCCCUCAUACAUAAAAUGAUCACUUCUCAACACACACACUGUCUCCAAAGGGGGCAGAGAAACCUCAUUGGCGAAGGCGCUGGGCUUUAGUUUGGCAUCCACGAGCCAGACAGACCCACAGACGGCUCCCAGGAGAAAAGGCAGUGGAACCGUGCUCCUUCCGUCAGGGGCAGGUGCCCGCGGCACUCACGCCAUCCAGGCACAGGGCCGUGAUGUCAGACCCUCUCGCUCACCCUUCCCAAAGGCUCACACCACAGGUGGAAGGUCAAGGGCCCCAGAGGUCACCAAGUCCACUGCUUGUUUUACAGUGAAGACAGGGGAGCCACUCAGGCCUUUCCCAGAAUCACCCAGCAGCCAGGUCCGACCCCAGGCCAGUGCUCCUCAUGUCCUCAUUUUGAUUCUUAAAAAUAUUUUCUCCUUUAAUGACUGUUAACAUGUAUUUUUUCUUCUUUCCCUAACAUUUCAUUAUAACAUUAAACGAACGUUUCAAACUAUCCUCCCUGCCAUCCCUGGCCAGGAGAAGGGGGUUCAUGCCUCAGCUGAGAAUCCCUGUUCGAUUCCCUGAUGAGGGGAUCCAAUGGGGCACCCCACACCCAGUUAGUUGCCUCUGCCAGGGAGAGGGGGACAACUGUCUGCCUUUCUCCUAGGCUGUGGGUGACUGAUGGGAGUAAUGGCUCGCCCCUUUUCCAAGUGUACAGGUGAUGCAGACGGGCAAGAGGAGAGGAAGGCUGGUGUGCAAGGCCUGGGGUGGGGACGGGCUUCUCUUCCUCGUCCUCAUCCCUCAGCUGGGCUCCUGUCCCCUACUCACCAUCGCCGAGGCUGGAGACCCCCAGGGCUUGGGCAGUGUGCAGGGUGAGGCGGUUCCGUGCGUCCUGGAUGUAGGCCAUGGCCGGCAUUGGGUAGAAGUUAGCUUGGAGGGGCAGCUUCUUGAGAUACCGCCGGGGCUGCACCUGCGGAGGACAAGGCGAGGAGGUCGAGGGCAUGUGGGCACCACGUGGGCUCCAAGGGGCCCCCAGUCCGAGGCAGCAACUGACUCCUCUCGCCUCUGGGGUCUUCCCUCUCCGUGGGGCAGACCUGCCCCCACCCCAGGGCCUGCGAAGGAGGCAGAAACAGGCCAAGUUCUGCUCAAUGGGAUCGCCAGGGUGCAGCCCAAGGAACCCACCUGAAAGCCAUUGAGGUCCGUGAAGAAGGUGCCCUGGCUGCCGAUGUCCAUGUGGAUGCGCAGAGCCAGCUCCUUGUUGACGUAGUCCCGGAUGUCCACCAGGGAAGACAUGUCCAGAGAGAGCCCCUCCACGCCUGGGACACAGGGACGAAGGGGGAGAGCAUGAGCAGGCGGGAGGGUGCGACCCAGCCUGAGAGACGUGGCCGGGGGUCGAAGCUGAGCACGGGAGCAGCUUCGCCCAACUCCUCUGGCAAUUCCCAAGGCAUUUUGGGGUGACCUUAUCCUCCUAGAGAACUAAACACCCCCAUCUCAAGAGGUACAUCUGCUGGGACCAAGUGCGCCUGCCAGUGCCAAAGGAGAAGGGUCCCAGCCCGCGGGGCCCACCCCUCCCUCCUGACCUUCCUCUUCCCCGAGGCUGGCCCCAUGCAGGGCUCACCUGGCACAUUGUAAAGCCGCACCACCUGGUGAAAGUGCUCAUAGUAGGCAACCACCUCCGAGACAAAAGGGCCCUCGGUGACACGCAACACAGGGGGAUCCUUGGGGACGUAGGGCUGGGGAAAGAGCAGGUGGGAGCUGAACCUACAGCCCAGAGAGCAAAGUGGGAGAGAACAGCCCAGGCUCGGGCAAGACCAGCACCCAUCCAGGCUGGCUCCAGCCUGUUACCCCUGGGCUGGGCUGGACCCCCACCCCCAGUGAGCGACCCCAGCCCAGUGCACCUCACAGAGGCAGCAAAGGUGAGGCCCCCAGCAGGCAGGGGUCACCCCGGAGGAAGUGGGGGCCUCGGCUACCUCCACCCUGGUAGGCCCAUGCCCCGCCUCUCCUCGGGCCCUCCCUGUUGGGAGACCGCCCAGGCCCUGCUGGUUUGGGUGAGGUGUCUUUCAGGUACCUUGGCCUCGCCAUCAGGCAGGAAGAGGUAGGCCCCACUCUUGUCUUUGGAUGUGCGGGUGCCAUAGAUGAGGAACUCCAUGUCCACCCGCUGCUCCUGCUCCUCAUCCACCCUUCGGAUGCUCUGCCAAAGAACACAGCCCUGACCCCUGGCCCCACACCAGCAUGUCAGGCCUGCCCCCUGGGAGGGCACGGACGAACUUCCCCAAGGAGGUGAGCCCAACUUCCCCAUGCUGUCAGCUGGGAGCCGAGCUGGCCAUGCCCGGGGCCGCCGUCGGUCAGCGGUUGCACACUCACGGGGCCCCAGAGGCAGCUCCGCACCGCGCCGGGCCCCCUCCUCCCACCCCACUCACCCCCAUGCCCCAACUCUGGCCCUUCCCUGCGCCCGAUGUGGCCCUUUACCUUGAGGAGCCCAGUAAGGCCUGAGAAGCCGACCUGCAUGUAGCGGUUGCUGAGGGCAAAGUCGCUGGUGCCGGAGUCGAUGACACGUACAGGGAAUGCUUCAUGCCUACUGAUGGACAGCGGCCGGCCAUGCAGAUUCCAGUUCCAAGAGUGACCAUCCUCUGGGCACUUCUCUCCCCAAGACUCCCACCCCCGGCUGGGGAACAGGCCAGCAGGAGGGCAGGCAACCGUGCUGACAGGCCGGUGCAGCACUGGGGGAAGAGCCCCGCCUCACCUGGUAGACGUCGGGGACCAUGUCAGUGGCCGAGCUCCAGUGCAGGCUGAUCUGCACAGCCAGGAGCUGCCCCUCCUCAGAAAGAACACGCACCCGGGGCGAGUUGACCAGCAGGGACACCACACUGAGCCGCUCCUGCUCCAGCGGGUUGAACAGCACCACAUACCUGCAGACAUAAGCACCAGGAAGUGGGCAGCAUUGAUGAUGACCUGCUUCAGGCUCACCAGGGACCGCAGAAGCCUGUGGGGGUGGGAGACAGACCAUGGAGAAGAUGUGAGGUCCGGGCCCCAGGAAGACGACUUCAGGGAAACUGUCCACUGGUGCCCAUGGGACGGCCCUCGGCAGCCUCCUUGGCGGUGCCGGUGAUGGCAUCGUGGUGCUGGAAGAGCCCCAGCGUGCGCCGAGCUUCCGUCAGGAGGGCAAAGUUGGAGAGCGGGUAUUGGCCAGCCACCCCAGAGCGGCGCGAGUGAGCCACAGCCAGGCUGUACAGGAUCUCCGCACCCCUGCCCCCGAGGGACAGGUCCCUCCGCUCCCUCCCUGCUCAUCCAAUCCAGCCCCUCCGCAAACCCCAAAGGCUCGCCCCACUCCCGGAGCCUGGGAGCCAGGGGGUGGGGCUCACCGCAAGUGGGCCUCCAGCACGCGGUCCAAGCUCUUGUAGAAAGGCCGGGAGGUGUAGUAGCCCGUCCAGUAGUGGUCCUCCCGGUCCGCGUAGGAGAAGAAAUCCCCGCUCAGCACGGGAAAGCCGGGAGGCCGCGCCCCUGGCUCCACCCCUGUCCUCUUGUACAGAGCGUCAAAAUAGUCGGAGAGGGUGCCAAAUUGGGCCUGUGGGGACCCAAAAACCCACUCCCAUCAGUUCCAGAGCCUUCUGGGAAUCUCACCACUGGUGCUGCAGCCGGGGGGUAGGGGCAGGGACUUUGUCUAAGCCAGAGUCAGUGACUGAACGGUCUACCCUUCCGACCUCACAGAGAAGCCGGGAGCCAGUGACAUAAUUCUGACAUAAAAGGGAAACCUUGCCCUAGAGUUGGGAACGAGCCCCUGCUUUGGAGCUAGUAACAGGGAGCACAGAGCUUCAGAGGGAUGGCUCGGCUGCAGCAGUGCUGAGGCCCCCAGGCAGGAUCCCCAGGCCCCUCCCUAGCCAAGCCCCCAGCCCACCUGCACGUGGAGAUCAGGCUUGCUGUUGAGGAAGUCAAAGAGCCGCUGGUAGUUGAAGAACUGAGCAUCCCACUCCUGGGGCUUGUCGUAUCGGAAAUCGUCACCGAGUGGCACCAGGAGGACGUUGCUCCGGAACAACCGGGACUUCUUCCGGUACUGGUCCAGCAGCAGGGCCGCCCUGCAGGUGGGGAAGGGCAGGGGCCCAACAGGAGGUCUCAGUGCUAAAAGGUUGCCAAGCGGAGCCACCCCAGUCAGCGCCCCUGAAAUGCCCCAUCAAGGAGUCAUUCGGCUUUUGUGCAGCGUCUCCUGGGAUAGAGGGAACUCAGUGAUCUCUGCACAGCUCUGACAACCAGGUCCUCCUCAUGCUGCACUAGAAGCUUCAGCUUCACUUCCUGAACCCGAGUUCUGCCCUCUGGCACCACACAGGACAAAUCAGCCCUGCCUCAUGACAAUCCUUCUGACAUAGAGAUACGCUCACACUCCCCUCUUCAAGCUCUAUGAUCCCUGCUCCUUCAUCUGUUGAUUCCUCCAUAAGUUUGGAAUCUGUUCACCGGCAGUUCUCUAACAGUCCAUUUGCCAGUGUCCCUCUGACUGAGGGGCAAAGAGAGGACAGAACACAGCCCCCACCACCACCACCACGGUCAACUGCGAGGGCUGAAUGUCAGUGACAGGGUUCUCUAUACAGGUGGCUGUGCAAAGUCUUUUCUCCUCAUCCUGAGCUUUCAUAUUCUGUCUUCUGAAACUAAGGGUGAAAACUUACAUUUAUACCUCAUAAUUGCAUCUGACUGCAUCUGACCCACAUCCCAACUUGUUGAGAUCUUUGGGCUCCUGACUCUGACACUCCAGCUUCAUUUUCCCACCAGUGAGCAACACAGCAGAGCACAGGACCUGGACUUUGGAGCCAGACCAUGCCAAUGCUGGCUCUGCGAUUAGCUGAGUGGCCCACGGCAAGUUACUUAACUUCUCUGUACCUCAGUUUCUGUAGAAUGAGGAUAAUAUCAGUACCUACCCUCAUAACAUUAUAAGGAUUAAAAUGAGUUGCACGAGUUAAUGUUUGUAAAGUGAUUAGAAUAGGGCCAUACAUACUAUAGGAAUUGCAUAUAAGUAGUUGGUAAUUUUUGCAUUUCAUUCAAAUUACUAGUAAAAUCAAUGGAAAAACAGAGCCUUGCAGCACGUCAUUAGAAGCCCUUUCUUCUCUUUAGCCCAACCUUUUUAAUUGGCAUGUUAUAGCUAUCACAGUUCAACCAGCCACUAAUCUACUUAACCACACUGGUCCAGCUUCUGCUUUUCUAUUUUGUUCUCAAGGAUCUCAAGAGAGGACUCCUCCAAUACCACUUUUCACUAAUUUAUCAGUCUAGUAAUCCUUUCAAAGGAAAAAAUCAAGUUAUCUCUCAUGUCCUGUUCUCCAGAAACCUGGGCUGGCAACUUCAGAUGACAGCUGCUGCAUCAAGAAAAAAUCAUGCCUUAAUAGCCCUUGGUCAUUGCCUGGAAUCCACAUUUAGGUUUCUGGAUUCUGGAAACAAAAGACCACUUUCUUUCCCUUUUGGUCACAUUUCACCUCCCGGGCCCCAAGGAAAUCAGAGCAUUGCAACAUGAAAACCAGUUCGACUUCUUCUAUUCUUAAGGCCAGCUGGUUCCGGCUGAGUUGCUGUUUGGAUCACUCUUGCUCAGCACUUUCCCAGGGGGGCUGAUUUCAGCUCCUGAGGGAUGCCUAAAGCUUCUUGCAAAGGGCCCAGGUCUGUUUUCCCAUAGGCUGGAGGCUAUUUGGUGGGACUGAAGGCGAAUCUGAAGAUCUCUGGGGGAAGGGGAUUCUGGCUGAGCUGGAGCCAAGUCAGCAGGCCUCAGGCUGACUGGCCUGAGGUCUGUAAGGAAAAGUGUGCAUAAUGGGAGAAUUAUUCACCCCUGAGUUAGUCAACUGGCUCUGACAGUUUUGUUAGGACACUUGAAAACAUACUCAUCUGGGGAAAAUAAAAACAUUCUGGGAAAGUGAUCCUCGGGGCCUCCCAGCUUUCCAGGGA